rnacentral:rRNA from 1 species
GACGAACGCUGGCGGCGUGCUUAACACAUGCAAGUCGAACGGACAGGCCCUGCUUUUGUGGGGUGCUCGAGUGGCGAACGGGUGAGUAACACGUGAGUAACCUGCCCUUGACUUUGGGAUAACUUCAGGAAACUGGGGCUAAUACCGGAUAGGAGCUCCUGCUGCAUGGUGGGGGUUGGAAAGUUUCGGCGGUUGGGGAUGGACUCGCGGCUUAUCAGCUUGUUGGUGGGGUAGUGGCUUACCAAGGCUUUGACGGGUAGCCGGCCUGAGCGGGUGACCGGCCACAAUGGGACUGAGAUACGGCCCAGACUCCUACGGGAGGCAGCAGUGGGGAAUAUUGCACAAUGGGCGGAAGCCUGAUGCAGCAACGCCGCGUGCGGGAUGACGGCCUUCGGGUUGUAAACCGCUUUCGCCUGUGACGAAGCGUGAGUGACGGUAAUGGGUAAAGAAGCACCGGCUAACUACGUG